GGACCUCAGGCGCCGUGCUGCCCAUCAUUGGCCGCGUGUGUUUGGAGGCUCAGGCCCAGAUGGUCCACCGGGCGUACAGGGACUUCCUGGACCUACAGGAUCCCCCGGCCCCCCUGGACCAAUCG